rnacentral:rRNA from 1 species
GGGUUGUGAGGUUAAGCGACUAAGCGUACACGGUGGAUGCCCUGGCAGUCAGAGGCGAUGAAGGACGUGCUAAUCUGCGAUAAGCGUCGGUAAGGUGAUAUGAACCGUUAUAACCGGCGAUUUCCGAAUGGGGAAACCCAGUGUGAUUCGUCACACUAUCAUUAACUGAAUCCAUAGGUUAAUGAGGCGAACCGGGGGAACUGAAACAUCUAAGUACCCCGAGGAAAAGAAAUCAACCGAGAUUCCCCCAGUAGCGGCGAGCGAACGGGGAGCAGCCCAGAGCCUGAAUCAGUGUGUGUGUUAGUGGAAGCGUCUGGAAAGGCGCGCGAUACAGGGUGACAGCCCCGUACACAAAAAUGCACAUGCUGUGAGCUCGAUGAGUAGGGCGGGACACGUGGUAUCCUGUCUGAAUAUGGGGGGACCAUCCUCCAAGGCUAAAUACUCCUGACUGACCGAUAGUGAACCAGUACCGUGAGGGAAAGGCGAAAAGAACCCCGGCGAGGGGAGUGAAAAAGAACCUGAAACCGUGUACGUACAAGCAGUGGGAGCACGCUUAGGCGUGUGACUGCGUACCUUUUGUAUAAUGGGUCAGCGACUUAUAUUCUGUAGCAAGGUUAACCGAAUAGGGGAGCCGAAGGGAAACCGAGUCUUAACUGGGCGUUAAGUUGCAGGGUAUAGACCCGAAACCCGGUGAUCUAGCCAUGGGCAGGUUGAAGGUUGGGUAACACUAACUGGAGGACCGAACCGACUAAUGUUGAAAAAUUAGCGGAUGACUUGUGGCUGGGGGUGAAAGGCCAAUCAAACCGGGAGAUAGCUGGUUCUCCCCGAAAGCUAUUUAGGUAGCGCCUCGUGAAUUCAUCUCCGGGGGUAGAGCACUGUUUCGGCAAGGGGGUCAUCCCGACUUACCAACCCGAUGCAAACUGCGAAUACCGGAGAAUGUUAUCACGGGAGACACACGGCGGGUGCUAACGUCCGUCGUGAAGAGGGAAACAACCCAGACCGCCAGCUAAGGUCCCAAAGUCAUGGUUAAGUGGGAAACGAUGUGGGAAGGCCCAGACAGCCAGGAUGUUGGCUUAGAAGCAGCCAUCAUUUAAAGAAAGCGUAAUAGCUCACUGGUCGAGUCGGCCUGCGCGGAAGAUGUAACGGGGCUAAACCAUGCACCGAAGCUGCGGCAGCGACGCUUAUGCGUUGUUGGGUAGGGGAGCGUUCUGUAAGCCUGUGAAGGUGUACUGUGAGGUAUGCUGGAGGUAUCAGAAGUGCGAAUGCUGACAUAAGUAACGAUAAAGCGGGUGAAAAGCCCGCUCGCCGGAAGACCAAGGGUUCCUGUCCAACGUUAAUCGGGGCAGGGUGAGUCGACCCCUAAGGCGAGGCCGAAAGGCGUAGUCGAUGGGAAACAGGUUAAUAUUCCUGUACUUGGUGUUACUGCGAAGGGGGGACGGAGAAGGCUAUGUUGGCCGGGCGACGGUUGUCCCGGUUUAAGCGUGUAGGCUGGUUUUCCAGGCAAAUCCGGAAAAUCAAGGCUGAGGCGUGAUGACGAGGCACUACGGUGCUGAAGCAACAAAUGCCCUGCUUCCAGGAAAAGCCUCUAAGCAUCAGGUAACAUCAAAUCGUACCCCAAACCGACACAGGUGGUCAGGUAGAGAAUACCAAGGCGCUUGAGAGAACUCGGGUGAAGGAACUAGGCAAAAUGGUGCCGUAACUUCGGGAGAAGGCACGCUGAUAUGUAGGUGAAGCGACUUGCUCGUGGAGCUGAAAUCAGUCGAAGAUACCAGCUGGCUGCAACUGUUUAUUAAAAACACAGCACUGUGCAAACACGAAAGUGGACGUAUACGGUGUGACGCCUGCCCGGUGCCGGAAGGUUAAUUGAUGGGGUCAGCGCAAGCGAAGCUCUUGAUCGAAGCCCCGGUAAACGGCGGCCGUAACUAUAACGGUCCUAAGGUAGCGAAAUUCCUUGUCGGGUAAGUUCCGACCUGCACGAAUGGCGUAAUGAUGGCCAGGCUGUCUCCACCCGAGACUCAGUGAAAUUGAACUCGCUGUGAAGAUGCAGUGUACCCGCGGCAAGACGGAAAGACCCCGUGAACCUUUACUAUAGCUUGACACUGAACAUUGAGCCUUGAUGUGUAGGAUAGGUGGGAGGCUUUGAAGUGUGGACGCCAGUCUGCAUGGAGCCGACCUUGAAAUACCACCCUUUAAUGUUUGAUGUUCUAACGUUGACCCGUGAUCCGGGUUGCGGACAGUGUCUGGUGGGUAGUUUGACUGGGGCGGUCUCCUCCUAAAGAGUAACGGAGGAGCACGAAGGUUGGCUAAUCCUGGUCGGACAUCAGGAGGUUAGUGCAAUGGCAUAAGCCAGCUUGACUGCGAGCGUGACGGCGCGAGCAGGUGCGAAAGCAGGUCAUAGUGAUCCGGUGGUUCUGAAUGGAAGGGCCAUCGCUCAACGGAUAAAAGGUACUCCGGGGAUAACAGGCUGAUACCGCCCAAGAGUUCAUAUCGACGGCGGUGUUUGGCACCUCGAUGUCGGCUCAUCACAUCCUGGGGCUGAAGUAGGUCCCAAGGGUAUGGCUGUUCGCCAUUUAAAGUGGUACGCGAGCUGGGUUUAGAACGUCGUGAGACAGUUCGGUCCCUAUCUGCCGUGGGCGCUGGAGAACUGAGGGGGGCUGCUCCUAGUACGAGAGGACCGGAGUGGACGCAUCACUGGUGUUCGGGUUGUCAUGCCAAUGGCACUGCCCGGUAGCUAAAUGCGGAAGAGAUAAGUGCUGAAAGCAUCUAAGCACGAAACUUGCCCCGAGAUGAGUUCUCCCUGACCCUUUAAGGGUCCUGAAGGAACGUUGAAGACGACGACGUUGAUAGGCCGGGUGUGUAAGCGCAGCGAUGCGUUGAGCUAACCGGUACUAAUGAACCGUGAGGCUUAACCUUACAACGCCGAAG